GCCGUGAUAGCUCAGUUGGUAGAGCGCUGCGUUGAAGGCGCAGGCGUCGAUGGUUCGAAUCCAUCUUGCGGCACCA
rnacentral:tRNA from 1 species